UACGUAGGAUGCAAGCGUUGUCCGGAUUUACUGGGCGUAAAGGGCGUGCAGGCGGUCUGUUAAGUGCAGGGUGAAAGCUCCCGGCUCAACUGGGAGAGGUCCUUGCAUACUGGCGGACUUGAGGGGGGUAGAGGAAAGUGGAAUUCCCGGUGUAGUGGUGAUAUGCGUAGAUAUUGGGAAGAACACCGGUGGCGAAGGCGGCUCACUGGCUCGUAACUGACGCUGAGGCGCGAAAGCGUGGGGAGCAAACAGG
rnacentral:rRNA from 1 species